rnacentral:lncRNA from 10 species
AAAAGAGUCCUCAGAAGUGUCCUGAGCGGUCGCAGGGUAAUGACGUCGGCCGUAUCGGGGAUGCUGGAACCUGCGGUUGAGUGAGAAACCGGCGCCACCGCCUGCGUCUUGGUCUCGGGCUGGUGGCCAGCGGGGUCUGGGCGUGGUUUUACCCAGCUCCUUUGCGAAGCUGCUGUCCUUUCCUCAACGUUACCACCCGGCUGGGCAGCCUACCCUCGCAGCAACAGGUGUGCACCUUCCAAGCUUGCAACAGACCACAUUCAGAAGCUUGAUUUCUUGUUGUUCUGGGAAUAUCUGGAUCAGAGGUAACAUGGUUCACUAGGACUCCUCAGCUUCACCCAGUGUCCAUUUCACCUCCCCCGGCCUUCCAAUGUCUCUUCUUGCAGAUUUCUCCAAGCCACUCUCCCCGUCAUCUCCUCCACCCCCAGGACCCAACUCCUGCCCCUCCCACCCUAGCCCCUGUUCUCCCUGCCCACCUCCUACCCCACUGGAGUGGCCUUUCAUCAAACCUAAACCAAAGAAACCAACAGACCUUGCUGUCACCACUACUCCGGGACCUGGAAGUUAAAGCGAGGGAGAGACGGUGAAACACAGAAAGCAGAACGCCUUCUGUUCUUCCACAACACAGGGUUUGUGGACGUGGCCACUAUAAGAACUCGCACUGCGUGCUGAUUAUACUCCUCAGCACAAUUCAUUUCUUAAACUUUUUAGAAUAAUUUAAAAUUUACAAAAAGUUGCAAAAAUAAAAACCAGUAAACUUUUCA